UACGUAGGGUGCAAGCGUUGUCCGGAAUUAUUGGGCGUAAAGAGCUCGUAGGCGGUUUGUCGCGUCUGCUGUGAAAACUCGGGGCUCAACUCCGAGCUUGCAGUGGGUACGGGCAGACUAGAGUGCGGUAGGGGAGACUGGAAUUCCUGGUGUAGCGGUGGAAUGCGCAGAUAUCAGGAGGAACACCGGUGGCGAAGGCGGGUCUCUGGGCCGUAACUGACGCUGAGGAGCGAAAGCGUGGGGAGCAAACAGG
rnacentral:rRNA from 1 species